GUUUUUGGAAUUUGAUGGAUAAAGUUGCUGUCUUUCGUUUAUUAUUGGGAAUAGAAGAGGUGUGAGAAUUUAGAAUUGGAUUAAGUUAAGUUAAGUUAAUAUGGGUAAUUGAGAAAUAUUGAAUAAAUUUUUAUGAUUUUGUUAGUUUUGUCAACAGGAACUAAUCUUUUAUGGAUAUAAUGUGAGUGUUGUUUUUUAUGGAUAGAUUUAUUAGUGUUAUUAAUAUUUGUGGAUAGAAAGAGUAGUUUUCUCUUUUGUAUGUAGCAAUUUAUUGGCCAACGACAAAUUUUUAAAUGGAGCUCAAUAUUGUGGUAAAUUAGUCAUUGACCUGCCGAGUUAGGAGAUACCAUAAAAAAAAAGAAGAAGAAAUAGUUGUCUUUCUUGGCAAAUAAUUUCGAUGAUAAAUAUUUAAUGUAUAAUUUGUUUUAUAUAUAAAAUAAUUUAGUAUCAUUGUAAUAUACAGCAUAGUUGAAAAAAUUGAAUUGAUUCAGGCGGUCGAACUGGAAAAUCGGCAACCCAGCCUUUAGCCAAUCCGAUCUUGACAUUGGACUUGAUAAAAAACAAACCUGGUGAGAACCAGUUUGAUUCGGUCGAGUUUUGCAAAAACCAAUGAACCUCUGGGUUUGAGAAACUUAGGCCGGUACAGAAAUUUAAAACACCACACCCCAUAAAGACAUCAAAAAAGAAACGUCUAGGCUAGUUUUGAACACAUCCCACCCCCAGCGCUCUCACGUUCACUUUUGAAAACGGCACACCACACACAGAGGCACAACGCUGGCAGCUCACCUCGGUUCGCCGCGGUUGCCGCGCCUCUCGCCGAAUCCUCUGUAUCGUGUGCUUUUUGUAGCCGUGCAGCGUGUCGUCAUCGUUGUUCCCUAUCACAGCACCCAACGCUUGGUGUCCUCCACUGCUCGCAUUUUACCUCUCUUCCUGCAACUGUGCUUCUUGGUGAGUGCUUGCUUUUGCCGCACCGCGCCUCCGACCCUUCCUCGCCUCUCUUCCAUGGUUGUUGCUACCUGAACUGCUGCUCGUUGUCCACCUUUUGCCUCUGCAACAACAGGGGUGUUCAAAACCGAUCCGGACCAAACUAAACCGAUGGACCGAAU